rnacentral:rRNA from 1 species
ACUCAAAGGAAUUGACGGGGGCCCGCACAAGCAGCGGAGCGUGUGGUUUAAUUCGAGGCUACGCGAAGAACCUUACCAGGGAAUGACAUGCAGGUGGUAGCGAGGCGAAAGCGGAGCGACCCUUCGGGGAGCCUGCACAGGUGCUGCAUGGCUGUCGUCAGCUCGUGCCGUGAGGUGUUAGGUUAAGUCCUGUAACGAGCGCAACCCUCGUCGUUAGUUACAUGUGUCUAACGAGACCGCCGGUGAUAAGCCGGAGGAAGGUGGGGAUGACGUCAAGUCAGCAUGGCCUUUAUAUCCUGGGCUACACACACGCUACAAUGGCCGGUACAAUGGGCUGCGAAACCGCGAGGUGGAGCCAAUCCCGCAAAGCCGGUCUCAGUUCGGAUGACAGGCUGCAACUCGCCUGUCUGAAGUCGGAGUUGCUAGUAACCGCGCGUCAGCAUAGUGCGGUGAAUACGUUCCCGGGCCUUGUACACACCGCCCGU